GUCAUGACAAAGACAGCCCAGUAUCUUUGGGGGAAGGCUGUAGCUCAGUGGAAGAGCACCUGCUUUCCAAGCAAAAGGUCCCGGGUUCAAUCCCCAGCGACGUCUCUAGGUAGGGCUGAAACCCUGGAGGGCUGCUUGCCAGUCAGGCAAUAUUAGGCUGGAUGACGUGGCAGAGGCAGAGGCAGGUGCUCCUCUGAUUUCCAGUGGAUUUUGGCAAACUGAACAAGUCUUGUGACUUCUUUGUGAAACUUCCAGAUUGCGGUUCAUGUGUUCAGCACCUGAUUGCGGUUCAGCACCCAAGACACCAAAAUGUGACAAGAAUAACAGCACACAUCCUUCCUCUAUAUAAACUUUCAACAAGCCGGCUAAGUGGAGAUUUUUAUCCCGAUGGAUUUUUGUAAACACUGCUGCUUGGAGAAUUGGAAACGCAAAAUUUGGCAUUUUCCACCAACUGGGCCAUGCCCUGGAUUCAGUCCAUGGUAUGCACAUCAAACCCUGGAGAGCCACUGACAAUCAAAGUAGAUAAUACUGAGAUAGGUGGACCAAUGAUCUGACUCAGAAUAAGGCACCUUCUUGGGUUCCUAUAUAUCCCCUUUAUCAUGUGAUCUGCUGUUUGUGUGAAUUAACUCCAGCUCUACCACAAGCAAUGCGUUGCAUACCUGUAUUACGUUUCUGCCUGGAGCGUUGGAGUUUUUUCACAAGAGAUGCCAGCUGUGCUGUUGGCACAUGGGAACUGCGUGAUGCACUCUGCAAAAAUAAAAAAUAAGCUAUGCGAUAAAGGAUGCAAGAUUUGGUAAACACUGUGCAAUUCUCUAUUAAGCUGAGUGCAGAGAUGACUUUCUUCCUCCUGUUUUUGGGAAUUGGUAGGCAAGAUCAAGACUGUCGUCUUUCAAAACAGAAUACUACAGCAUAUACUAUGAUGAGAUGAUAUUAGAUAUAUCCCACCUUUCAUUUCAAGAUGGCUGAAAAAAUUGUCAUUGAUUGCACAAAGCACUUACAAGUCAUGGCAAACACAGGAGGCAUCAUAUGGAAGAUGAUUGCUGAUAGAAAAACAUGGAAUUUGACCUUUCCCUUGCCUGCCCUCAUUUACAGGUCUUUAAGCGGCAGCAACAGUGAUGGAAAAUGGAAGGAGGUGUGAAGGAACACACCUGUUCCACCGUUUUGUGUUCUGUUUAUUUGUUGUAAAAUGGUUGGUUUUUGCUUCACAGGCUCUCCUGCACAGGAGGAUCAAAAGUUCACAGGAGAGUCAAAAGUUUAUGUUUUGCUCAGGAGGUUGUGCACAUGAGGAGGUUUUGCCUAGGAACCUGGCAAUGAAGGAGAAACAGGAACUGAUUGACAAAAAAGGUUGGAAGGGCAGAAAUCUUGUAUAUAAGUUGAACUGGAAAAUUGGGUAGUCAGUAGAAGAAAAAGGUGGGGAGACAGGGACCUGAGAAGGCUUGCUUUCUUAAGUUAUAUAUAUGACAUUUGUGACAAGGAUACGUGAGGUCCACAGUAGCUCCCACUUACAAUUUCAGCAGCAGUAACUUAGAUCAAUGCUGAGUAAAAGUUAGUUGGCUAUAACUCAAUUUUUCCACCUAGCGUACCUCACAGGGUUGUCUCGAGAAUAAAAUGGGGGGGGUGCAUGAGGCCUCAACUCCUUGGAGGAAUGGUGGGAUAAUAUAUAUAUAUGCAUAAUAAAAUUAGGAUGAGAAAGCUGGGUUUUUAAUUCCUGUACAGAACUCAGGAAUAUUAUACUGUCAUUGGGUCAAUCUAGCUCAGUAUUGUCCACAAUGGAUGGCAGCAGGCAGCACUCAAAGAGUCUCUCCCAGCCCUACCUGGAGAUGCCCAGGGACAGGCCCCCAGCCAACCUAAAAGUUUGGAGGGGGCACCAAAAAAAGUAGAGGGCAGCAUUUUUUCCAUAAUAAAUUCAUUUUUGAGGAAAAAUGGGGGGAAGGAGAGAAAGGUUUUAGAGGGGCUGGACCCCCAGUUCCCCCUGCUCCCAGCUACAGGUCUGGCCAGGGAUUGAACCUGGGAUUUUUUGCAGGUGAUCUGCUACUAUCACGGCCCUUUCUCCAACAGGUCCUCCUUGUGUAACAGGGAGGUUGUCCAUGGCAUUUCUCUCUGGCUGUGAGAACAGUUCCAGCAGGUUUGUUUGGUGGUCUUUCCUGACACCCUCUGCCGAAUUAUCUUACCCGAUGUUAAUUGAACCAGAAGUAUACACAUAGGCCUUGUUCUCUGAAACGUCUCUUGGCUUCUCAAGUACUAGCAGGUUGGGUAAAAUAAGAUUAUCCGUAUUUGGAGAGCAAUACUUUUGUGGCUUGUUUCUCUGAUGACACCAGAGCCGUGACAAACAUGUGACAACUCAGAACAUUCAAAACAUUAAAAUCUGUUGUGACUUUUAGAUGGUAGGCCUGAGGGCAGGGACAUGUUAUCGCUGACAUUUGUAAGCUGCUCUGGGAAGCUUGUUUUGGCUGAAGAUCAGGACAAAAAGGCUUUAAAUAAACAACAGCCAUCUAAAUGUGACAUUUGCUCAUUAAGGGCGAUUUUGAGUUAAUAGAAGAAGGCCUCACCUUUUCCACAAAUGCAGCUUUCAGAGCCGGUGGUGCAUUCCUCAGCUGUUUGGCAAAGCCUGGGACCUUAACAGCAUCCAAGAUCACCUGGGCAGGUAUUGACUGCAGGCUAGUGGGGCUCAGUCCUAUCACCAGGCUCCCAAGCGCUGCAAGGCUCUUGCCGUCCACAAUCUGUUGAUAGGAAAUUCUCAGCUGUAGAGGCGAGGGGGGCAUCCAAGAGACAACUUCACCUAGCAGGCCCAACCGGUGACUUGGAGACAGGAGGCACAGUGGCUCUCUCCAGAGCCACAUUGCACCAGGUGCUAAGUGGACCUACGAGCUGUUUCUUACCAAUCUCACUCCCCAGUCUUGGAGGCCCUUCUGACCUGCUGUCAGUCACA